GCAGAACGCGAAGAACCUUACCAGGGCUUGACAUCCUACUAAUGAAGCAGAGAUGCAUUAAGUGCCCUUCGGGGAAAGUAGAGACAGGUGGUGCAUGGUUGUCGUCAGCUCGUGUCGUGAGAUGUUGGGUUAAGUCCCGCAACGAGCGCAACCCCUAUUGUUAGUUGCUACGCAAGAGCACUCUAGCGAGACUGCCGUUGACAAAACGGAGGAAGGUGGGGACGACGUCAAAUCAUCAUGCCCCUUAUGUCCUGGGCCACACACGUAAUACAAUGGCGUUAAACAGAGGGAUGCUAAGCCGUGAGGUGGAGCGAACCCCUAAAAGGCGUCUCAGUUCGGAUUGCAGGCUGCAACUCGCCUGCAUGAAGUCGGAAUCGCUAGUAAUCGCGGAUCAGAAUGCCGCGGUGAAUACGUUCCCGGGUCUUGUACACAC
rnacentral:rRNA from 1 species